UCUAUACUUUAAAAAAAAAAAAAAAAAAAGAGGUAAAAUUCACGUUAAGUUAAACACAGAUGAUGGCUUUAUAUUUGAUGAGAUCAAAGAAAAGGGUUUAAUUUUGAGAUAGCUUGCUUCACUUGAUUUUGUCAAAGUAAAAUGCUCAUAUUUUGAUCUUGUCAAGGUUGCAAUAAAGAAAGUCGUAGCAUGUGGUGGUCUUAAGCUUUGCCGUAAAAGAUCUUUCCGCUGCCUUACAUGUCUAAUAUUAAUAACCUUCAGCGUAGAAGAAUAUCAUCUAAAUGGUCACCUCUCCAAAAGAUCUUACACAUUGUCAAUUUCAACGUUUUUGUCUAAUCAUCAAAGCUCUCUAGUUACAGGUUUUCUUGCUCAAGCUUGAUCAACACUACUGAUUUUCAACUCUACCUACAGCUUACAUUCAAGCCCCUGAAGCAUCUGUUUCUUUGUCUGUUUCUUUAUAUCAGUGGGAAAUUUAGAUUGUCCAACAACUUUCACUUCUGGGUUUUAGGAGAUGAUUCGGGGUUCUGGUGCUUUUUCCCUUCUUGGCAUGCCUAAUUCAAGAGCUUGCACAUUUGGAGCUGUUCUACUUAUCUGGCUCUGUUGCUCUUCAUUACUUGUAGCAGCACAAGAUGGAAUUACUGACCCUGUAGAAGGUGAUUUUGCUUGAAUUGUUAGCUGCUCUUUUCUUUUCCUUUGAAGAUACUUUCCACAGCAGCACCGCAAGCUUGAUUUCUCCUUCUAGAAUUAGUACUGUCUGGCAUGAAGAGGCCCGUCUGAACAGAGUUCAUGAUGUAUCAACAUGUUUUAUUUUCA